UACGUAGGGUGCGAGCGUUAAUCGGAAUUACUGGGCGUAAAGCGUGCGCAGGCGGUUUUGUAAGACAGAUGUGAAAUCCCCGGGCUUAACCUGGGAACUGCGUUUGUGACUGCAAGACUCGAGUGCGGCAGAGGGGGGUGGAAUUCCACGUGUAGCAGUGAAAUGCGUAGAGAUGUGGAGGAACACCGAUGGCGAAGGCAGCCCCCUGGGUCGACACCGACGCUCAUGCACGAAAGCGUGGGGAGCAAACAGG
rnacentral:rRNA from 1 species